CAGGUGGUAUCUGAUGCUACUGAGCCAGAUGUCUGUGUGUCAGGGGAGAAGCUCCAGGUGGUAUCUGAUGCUACUGAGCCAGAUGUCUAUGUGUCAGGGGAGAAGCUCCAGGUGGUAUCUGAUGCUACUGAGCCAGAUGUCUAUGUGUCAGGGGAGAAGCUCCAGGUGGUAUCUGAUGCUACUGAGCCAGAUGUCUAUGUGUCAGGGGAGAAGCUCCAGGUGGUAUCUGAUGCUACUGAGCCAGAUGUCUAUGUGUCAGGGGAGAAGCUCCAGGUGGUAUCUGAUUUUAAGUACCUUGGCAUCAUACUUGAUUCCAACCUCUCUUUUAAAAAGCAUGUGAAAAAGGUAAUUCAAAUAAC
ensembl:lncRNA